rnacentral:rRNA from 1 species
UAGAGGAAGUAAAAGUCGUAACAAGGUUUCCGUAGGUGAACCUGCGGAAGGAUCAUUAUUGAAAUAAACCUGAUGAGUUGCUGCUGGUUCUCCAGGGAGCAUGUGCACACUUGUCAUCUUUAUAUCUCCACCUGUGCACCUUUUGUAGACCUGGAUAUCUCUCUGAAUGCUUAGUCGUUCAGGAUUGAGGAUUGAUAUYAUGUCUCUCCUUACAUUUCCAGGCCUAUGUUUCUUCAUAUACCCCAAUGUAUGUCAUAGAAUGUAAUUAAUGGCCUUUGUGCCUAUAAACCUAUACAACUUUCAGCAACGGAUCUCUUGGCUCUCGCAUCGAUGAAGAACGCAGCGAAAUGCGAUAAGUAAUGUGAAUUGCAGAAUUCAGUGAAUCAUCGAAUCUUUGAACGCACCUUGCGCUCCUUGGUAUUCCGAGGAGCAUGCCUGUUUGAGUGUCAUUAAUAUAUCAACCUCUUCAGCUUUUGCUUGUUGAGYGUUGGAUGUGGGGGUCUUUUUUUGCUGGUCUUUCCAAGGUCAGCUCCCCUGAAAUGCAUUAGCGGAACAAUUUGUGGACCGUUCAUUGGUGUGAUAACUAUCUACGCUAUUGACGUGAAGCAGUUCAGCUUAUAACAGUCCAUUCACUUGGACAAAUUUUCAUUAAUGUGACCUCAAAUCAGGUAGGACUACCCGCUGAACUUAAGCAUAUC